UGCUAGGGGAAUCUGAUAAUAUGUUCCUCCUAGAAAAUUAGAAAUAUGUUAGUUUGCAAAUAGGUAAAAUAAAAAAGAAAAUCAGAAAUUAAUACGUGAGGUUUUAUUAAUUAUACCAGACAUUGCAUUAAACUAGACAUCAUUAAUGUUCCCCCCAUUGACAGAGUAAAUGAAAAAAAACUCCCUGAUUCAACUUCAUCUCUUUCCAGUCUUAUCUCUCAUCUAUGCAGUGGAUUAUCAGAAUAUUCUGAAUUUAAGUAUACAAUAAUAAAUGUCAAUUUUUAAUAUCAUAUCAUCACCCAAACUCUAUCUUCCCUCUAAGCACAUGGACUUAGAGUACAAGGUUCUUUUACCUAUUGAACAGAAUGAGUUAGUUUUCUUUUUUUUUUUUUUUAAGAGACAGAGUCUCAUUGUACAGCCCUCGGGUAGAGUGCCGUGGCGUCACACGGCUCACAGCAACCUCUAACUCUUGGACUUAGGUGAUUCUCCUGCCUCAGCCUCCCAAGCAGCUGGGACUACAGACGCCUGCCACAACGCCCGGCUAUUUUUUUGUUGCAGUUUGGCCAGGGCUGGGUUUGAACCUGCCACCCUCGGCAUAUGGGGCCGGAGCCCUACUCACUGAGCCACAGGUGCCGCCCGAGUUAGUUUUCUUUUAAAAAUCUUCAGUUCUGUGCCUCUGAUCUGCCAGUACUUUAAAAAAAAAAUCUUCCUGUAUUCUGGCCAGGCGAGGUGGCUCAUGCCUGUAAUCCUAGCACUCUGGGAGGCCGAGACAGGUGGAUAGCUUGAGCUCAUGAGUUCAAGACCAGCCUGAGCAAAAGCAAGACCCUGUCUCUACUAAAAAUAGAAAAACUGAGCCAGGAAGAUCGCUUGAACCCAAGAGUUGGAGGUUGUUGUGAGUUAUGAAGCCAUGGCACUCUACCCAGGGCAAUAGCUGUGACUCUGUCUCAAAAAAAAAAAAAAAACCCAAAACCCCAAAAAACUUCAGUUCACAGUUUAAGGGGAAAAAAUAUCAAUAUUUAAGUUAGCUUCAGAGUUCAAAAUAUUACAACCCACUCCUGUCUAGAAUUAAGCUAGGUUUACAUAAUUUCUUUUCCUUUUUUGGAGAAAGAAUCUUAUCUGUCACCAUAGAGUGCUGUCGCAUCAUAGCUCACAGCAACCUCAAACUCUUGGGCUCAAGUGAUUCUCUUGCCUCAGCCUCCCCACCAGCUGGGACUACAGGUGCCCGCCACAACAGCUAUUUUUAGAGAUGAGGUCUCCCUCAGACUCGAACUGGUCAAAACCUGUAAGCUCAGGCAAUCCACCUACAUAGGCCUCCCAAAGUUCUAGGAUUACAGACAUGAGCCACCGCGCCCAGCUGGUUUAACAUCAUUUCUGUGAAAAGGAAGAUUCUAAGAUGCUAUUUUCCUAAAGAGGAUAAGAAAUAUGGUUGGAUGCAGUGGCUAACACAAUCCUAGCACUCUGGCAGGGUGAGGCAGGUGGGUUGGGUUGCUUGAGCUCAGGAGUUUGAGACCAGCCUCAGCAAGAGUGAGACCCCAUCUCUUCCAAAAAAAAAAAAAAGGAAUAAAUAUGUUCAACAAAUAUUUGAUAAAUGAAAGGAAUGAGAUGAAGAUAUUCUGGAGAAAACAAUUCAUCAAAUAAAUAUUUAUUGUGCACAAUUUAUAUGUUAGGCACUGUGCUUGGUUUCAGACACACAGAAUAUAAGAAAGUACAAGUAAUCUUCCACACAUUACAGGAACAUGCGAUUCAAAUGCCUGGCGCCAAAUCUCAUGGAAGAAAAUACAUACACUGAACUUUUCGUUUUUUAUUUUGAUUCUGGCUGGACAAGGCAUCUACAUUCUAGAAAACCUUCUUAACAAUCACUAAACAAGUAAAAGCCUACUUAUUUAUAUAUACAAAGACAAGAAGAAAAGGUCAUGAUUGUCUAACAGGGAACAUGUGUUCCCAAAUAAGUUAUCUUACAAAAAUAUCACACUUGAUUUUCUUUUUCUACUACCAGUAAAAAAAAAAAAGAAAAGAAAAGAAAGAAAGAAA